UAGCCGAAACCAGCUAUCAUACUGAGAUCAAUUAAAAACAUGAUUCCAAUGACGAUUGCUGAAAAAAAAACACAUAAGCUGCAAAAGAGAAAGGAGAAAAUGAAAGACAAAGUGAAUAAAUAAAAGAAAUGCAUUUUUUUCGCACAUGAAAAGACGGACAAUGUUAAGAAUACGGCAAGGUGUUUGGAUUGGUGUCUAGGAAACAUUAAGAAGAAAAGAUAUGGAUAAGUUGAAAUUUCUUUCAAACCUUUGGUGUGAACAAUUCUUUGAUUCCAUCCAAAGCACCAGGUAGAGUGAUACCACGGAAGAACAGAAUGAUUAAUACAACAUACGGAAACGUUGCUGUGAAGUAGACAGCCUGAAAAAACAUUAAAAUAGAUUCAAUCACCACUCUGUAUAAAUAUAGAACUGGAAGCUCGGAAGUCAACGAUAGAAAGGCAUAAUACACACACCAUGUUAUCACGAUGAUGUAAUAGAGACAUAACAACAUAGAUGUGAUCAUGCAUGAGAUGCCAAUUCCUGUUAAGCCUUUGUGCAUACCACGCCAUGCUUCAACAGCGGUCUUUCGAAAUCUCUGACCAACACCGAGUUCGAUGAAAAACAAA